rnacentral:rRNA from 1 species
CACUUACAGAUGGACCCGCGGCGCAUUAGCUAGUUGGUGAGGUAACGGCUCACCAAGGCGACGAUGCGUAGCCGACUUGAGAGGGUGAUCGGCCACACUGGGACUGAGACACGGCCCAGACUCCUACGGGAGGCAGCAGUAGGGAAUCUUCCGCAAUGGACGAAAGUCUGACGGAGCAACGCCGCGUGAGUGAUGAAGGUUUUCGGAUCGUAAAACUCUGUUGUUAGGGAAGAACAAGUAUCGUUCGAAUAGGGCGGUACCUUGACGGUACCUAACCAGAAAGCCACGGCUAACUACGUGCCAGCAGCCGCGGUAAUACGUAGGUGGCAAGCGUUGUCCGGAAUUAUUGGGCGUAAAGCGCGCGCAGGCGGUUUCUUAAGUCUGAUGUGAAAUCUUGCGGCUCAACCGCAAGCGGCCAUUGGAAACUGGGAGACUUGAGUGCAGAAGAGGAGAGUGGAAUUCCACGUGUAGCGGUGAAAUGCGUAGAGAUGUGGAGGAACACCAGUGGCGAAGGCGACUCUCUGGUCUGUAACUGACGCUGAGGCGCGAAAGCGUGGGGAGCGAACAGGAUUAGAUACCCUGGUAGUCCACGCCGUAAACGAUGAGUGCUAAGUGUUAGAGGGUUUCCGCCCUU